rnacentral:snRNA from 1 species
UUUGGGGUUUUGGUUCUUG